CUGAGGGAGAAAACAGCGCUGCUAGAUCACUGCAUCACCAACAACCACCAAUUUCUAUUAGACAGGGUAGAAGUAUUGGAUUCAAGCCACAAAAAACAGAAUCUAGCUAUAUUAGAGUCAUGUCACAUCCUUAACACACAACACACUGUCAACAAGCGAACCGACACCGAUAACCUAAGCGGCACGUACGCCGGGGUAUUACACACAGUUAAAACGAUACAACACACUACACACAGACGAACAGUGGAAUAGGCGCACAAUAGCAGCCAUCACCAUAACGAGACACAGACAGAAUCCGAAAUUGGCGCGAAAGUGACCGACAAGUGUAGGAGGUAAAACAAAACCCAAUAUAAGUGAACCGGUAGAUUUAAAAAUUGCGCCAACGAUCGAACUCAACCACUGAAUGGAUGACGUGCGACUAUGUUCAACACAUUAUAACUCACGAUUGAACGGAGUGAUUAUCUGUAAGAUUUUGUAAACUAUGUUGUUAAAUGUUGUACUAAAUUGUCCAUUUGUAGAUCCUUCGAAAAAGGCUCAAUACAUGUAGCCGAAACGUCAGGUGUAGAGCAUAAAUCCGUUUAUGAUUACGCGAAGACUGAAAGCCGAAAAUACCCGUAACAUAA